GGAUUGUGGCUCAGCGGUAGAGUGCUCACCUAGCGCGGGCGAGGCCCUGGGUUCGAUCUUCAGCACCA
rnacentral:tRNA from 1 species